AUUGAACGCUGGCGGCAUGAUUUACACAUGCAAGUCGAACGGUAACAGGCCGCAAGGUGCUGACGAGUGGCGAACGGGCGAGUAAUGCAUCGGAACGUGCCCAGCCGUGGGGGAUAACUACUCGAAAGAGUAGCUAAUACCGCAUACGAUCUAUGGAUGAAAGCGGGGGACCGUAAGGCCUCGCGCGAUUGGAGCGGCCGAUGUCAGAUUAGGUAGUUGGUGGGGUAAAGGCUCACCAAGCCAACGAUCUGUAGCUGGUCUGAGAGGACGACCAGCCACACUGGGACUGAGACACGGCCCAGACUCCUACGGGAGGCAGCAGUGGGGAAUUUUGGACAAUGGGCGCAAGCCUGAUCCAGCAAUGCCGCGUGCAGGAAGAAGGCCUUCGGGUUGUAAACUGCUUUUGUACGGAACGAAACGGCUCUGGUUAAUACCCGGGGCUAAUGACGGUACCGUAAGAAUAAGCACCGGCUAACUACGUG
rnacentral:rRNA from 1 species